ACUUGCAGAGUUUGCUGUACAAUUAGUGCUGCUCUGGGGCUGGGUCAAAGUUCUCAGCACUUGACAGGAUAAAGCCUCUAAGGCCUGUGUCGUUUUCAGCCCUUUAUUUGCUGCAGCUGCUCAGUCAGGUGGCUUUUGCAUCUUCCAGAGGUUUCUCAUUUAAAAAAUGUUCUUAGGAGGAGGUCAGAGUAAGAGACCUGUAUUUGUGCUGCAUUGCUGGCCCAGGAUAUGGGAUGUGAUAGUCUAAUUCUCUGCUUUGACUUGAGCAUGAACUUUGAUCUCCAAGACCAAAGAGAGGGGAUAAAGCCGAGCACAGAAGAGGAAGGAGUUUUUUUCUGAGUUUAGACACAUCAAGAUACAGAGAUGUCAACAGGAAUGACAUCCUGAUCAAAACAAGUGCACGUGCGUGUCCCCUCAAGUUUGGUUCACGAACAAAGAGCGAUCUGAAAAUCCGACACAUUCCUUCCGACAACUCCCACUCAGCUCUGCCUCCAAAUGCAUUUUACAUAUUUUUGCUUACAGAUGCAAUGCUAUCAUCUCUCAACUCAUCAGAAAGUGAAGGAAACAAACCGCUAGAGGAGUGCUUGGAAUGAGCAAAAUAGAGCCAGCAAAACACCCAUCAUCAGUGUGAAUCUGCCACAACUUCAUUGUAAUUUAAUGAUAUCGGGAGUCUUGAAUGAAGUGUUUUAAUGGUGUCAUUUGUGGAUUUAACUGUGCUUCCAUCAAGGGAAAAAAAUCAUGUUGGAAAUUAUGGACAGAACAAAACUUUAUGGAAGAAAAUCAAUGUCACUAUAAAUACACGUGAAGAUCCCCAGCAUAUUAGUAACA